rfam:Dickeya dadantii 3937, complete genome.
GACAUCACGCUGUCGUGCAGGUGAGAAGCUGCGUUCAGGUUCGAGCCGAGCGAAGCGAGACAACAGCGCACAGCGCUGGCCCGAAGGGCGAGGCCGCAGGCCGAGUCAUCCUGCACGACCCACCA